rnacentral:rRNA from 1 species
UUGGAUCCAGACUUUGAUCAUGGCUCAGGAUGAACGCUAGCGGCAGGCUUAACACAUGCAAGUCGAGGGGCAGCAUAAUGGAUAGCAAUAUCUAUGGUGGCGACCGGCGCACGGGUGCGUAACGCGUAUGCAACCUACCUUUAACAGGGGGAUAACACUGAGAAAUUGGUACUAAUACCCCAUAAUAUCAUAGAAGGCAUCUUUUAUGGUUGAAAAUUCCGAUGGUUAGAGAUGGGCAUGCGUUGUAUUAGCUAGUUGGUGGGGUAACGGCUCACCAAGGCGACGAUACAUAGGGGGACUGAGAGGUUAACCCCCCACACUGGUACUGAGACACGGACCAGACUCCUACGGGAGGCAGCAGUGAGGAAUAUUGGUCAAUGGACGCAAGUCUGAACCAGCCAUGCCGCGUGCAGGAUGACGGCUCUAUGAGUUGUAAACUGCUUUUGUACGAGGGUAAACGCAGAUACGUGUAUCUGUCUGAAAGUAUCGUACGAAUAAGGAUCGGCUAACUCCGUGCCAGCAGCCGCGGUAAUACGGAGGAUUCAAGCGUUAUCCGGAUUUAUUGGGUUUAAAGGGUGCGUAGGCGGUUUGAUAAGUUAGAGGUGAAAUUUCGGGGCUCAACCCUGAACGUGCCUCUAAUACUGUUGAGCUAGAGAGUAGUCGCGGUAGGCGGAAUGUAUGGUGUAGCGGUGAAAUGCUUAGAGAUCAUACAGAACACCGAUUGCGAAGGCAGCUUACCAAACUAUAUCUGACGUUGAGGCACGAAAGCGUGGGGAGCAAACAGGAUUAGAUACCCUGGUAGUCCACGCAGUAAACGAUGAUAACUCGUUGUCGGCGAUACACAGUCGGUGACUAAGCGAAAGCGAUAAGUUAUCCACCUGGGGAGUACGUUCGCAAGAAUGCAACUCAAAGGAAUUGACGGA